UUGAACCUCGGAGGCGGCCGCGGGCGAGGGGCGGGGCCGAAGGGGCCGGGACCGCCGCCCCAGCUCGAGGACCCGUUAGACCGGCAAACCGCAGUCCCUGCCCCGCGGGCUUCCUUUACUUUUUGGGAGUGGGGGGCGGUUUCCCUGCUUUUUCCACCACAGCCCCUCCUCCCGCCGCAAUGUGGCUGAUGCUCAUAAAAAGUUGUAUUAAAGAGCUGACUGCAGCCGAGAAUCGAUCAACAAAAGCGACCAGCCUCUCUGGGUCUAUCCACGGCCUUCUCAACAGAUGACUUCAAGUUGAUUUCGUGCUUUAUUUCUUAAGAAUAGUGACUAACCUAAGGGAUCUGAUUCAAUUUAUUAGGAACACAGUGCCACCUUCCAAAAUUACUUACCUAAGAGGACUGAGCCUGCUGUCCCUGGAGCAGUUAGCUAAAACAGUGCCUCAGUACGGAGCGUACCUGUGUUAACUUCUAGAGUGCUGUUUCCGGCAGCUGCUGAAAUCCACGCUGAGGUUAUCAAGCUCAUCCUACAAAAUAAAGCAAGUUCUUCGCAAUUUAAA
rnacentral:lncRNA from 1 species